AGGUAGGCGUGGCAGAAUGGCUGAACAAAAACCUGAAGAGAAGAUUCAAAUUAUGGAUGAAGUAAGUAUAAGAUCAAAUUGUCCACGCAUCACAUAGAUCUAAGCAUGCAUUUACUGCCGGGGAAAGUCUUUCAUAAAUAUUAUGAUUAAUUUGUUUUCUAGACAAAGUGAAACAGUAAUGGUAAGGUACAGCCUACAGAGCCCCAUAGGAAAGAGGUUGCAAUUUACAAGUCACAAAUAUAGCAAUCCUCUUACAUAUAUUUCCCCAGGGG